rnacentral:lncRNA from 1 species
CCGCUGUCUCGGCUCAGGGCGGGGAGGAGGCGCUUCUGCCUCCCCCCACUGGCUGCUGUCGCCUGGCGGGGGAGGCACUGCUGGCUGGGCCGGGCGGGGGCGUAGCGGCAACCGCCUCCCCCCACUCUCCCAAGGAGGUGCGGGCACCGCGGUCCCUCCCAGUCCCUGGGAGCCUCUCUGCCGUCCCCCUUGGGCCUCUCAAGGAAGCUUCUCUGGCCGCUGUGGAUAUUGGUUUUUGUUGGACUUGGAAUUGGGAAUUGAGGGCGACUGGGGGACGCCGGGACAGAGGGCGAAGCAGGAGCUCACCGGUGAUGUAAUGCGGACCCGCACAGGGAGGGGAAGCAGCAGCCUCAGCAGUGGCGGCAGCGGUGGUUCUAGUCUUCGUGAAAAUCGUGAUCUCAUUUCUCUGUCCAAGGGCGAAGGCCGGUCGUCACCAAGACAUUUGCACUUUCUGUUUUUAUUAGCAAAGCCCAGCUGCUUUGGCAGCCCGGCAGCGUUCUUCUCAGGGUGGAAGCCGAGGGAUGGCAUUUUCCUUUCACCAUUUGGAAGAAAUUUUGGAAUGAACAAUAUACCUUUUCUCCCUCUGAAAUACUGCUUCCUGAGCUUUAAGGAGGCAUAGCCAGAUCUUGCUGAUUUCCUGACGCUGACCACACGGGAUGCAGGCUGGUCCUCACCCUAAGAAGAGAGAGCCUCCCCAACCCCAAGAAGGAAGGGAAAGAGGAUGGCUCUCUGGGUCCCUGUGAGAUGGGAAUGUUCCCACUUUCUCUCUGGAUUCUCUGCAAAAGACAGCAAGAUACCCCAGGGGAUAUUGGUGGAAAAGAUGAAUGCAUAGGAAUCAAGCUGAAGGAAGAGAAAGAAGGAAAGAAAAGAAACCAGUGAAGCACAGAUGUGCAGACCAGAGGAGGAAUUGUCCUAACUAUUGUUCCUAUGACAAUUGAAAAUAAAUGUAGUUUUUACUC